AUUGAACGCUGGCGGCAGGCCUAACACAUGCAAGUCGAGCGAGCGGCGGACGGGUGAGUAAUGUCUGGGAAACUGCCUGAUGGAGGGGGAUAUCUACUGUAAACGGUAGCUAAUACCGCAUCCCAUCAGAUGUUUCCAGAUGGGAUUAGCGAGUAGGUGGGGUAACGGCUCACCUAGGCGACUAUCCCUAGCUGGACUGAAAGGAUGACCAGCAAUACUGGAACUAAGACACGGUCCAGACUCCUACGGGAGGCAGCAGUGGGGAAUAGUACACAAUGGGCGCAAGCCUGAUGCAGCCAUGCCGCGUGUGUGAAGAAGGCCGUCGGGUUGUAAAGUACUUUCAGCGGGGAGGCGUUACCCGCAGAAGAAGCACCGGCUAACUCCGUGCCAGCAGCCGCGGUAAUAC
rnacentral:rRNA from 1 species